GAUGGUAUAUUUUAAUUGGUUGAAUUUUGGAAUCAUAAUCCGGCGGUUGUAGGUUCGAGUCCUACUAUCAUCA
rnacentral:tRNA from 1 species